rnacentral:lncRNA from 1 species
CUUCAACUCUGGGUUUUUGUUGUUUUUUGUUUUUCACCCUAGGGGAAAAUUCACCACUGAGCUCAAGCAUUGCAAGACAUUCUGUUCUAAGGAGGGAUGAGGACAAAUCCUCGACUGUCCCCAACAGUUGCACAGGGCACUGCAUUCUCAGCACAUCUACAGUUAUCCUGAGAACUACAAGCAGGAGGUGAAAGAGCUGAGUCAGCCAAGGUCAUCUGGGGACCUACCCUCCUGCAGGCAGAGGAGCCUCUCGCUGUGGCCACCACUGCCUUCAGCCCAUAAGUGAGUUUUUCCAGGCUACCUCCGAUGAUCACUUAAAGCUCAGCGGCUCUUCAUUCAGCUUGUGUUUAUCCUUCGAAGGGAAGAGAUCUCAUCCUUGUGCUCACUGCUGAAUCCCCAGAGUCCUUCAUACAACCUCACUAUUAGUAGAACUUAAUACAUACUUGUUGAUAAAGAAAGGAAUCGAUGAAUGAAUGGACCAAGACGCCUUCUAAUACCAAGUCUCUAUAGCUUCUCAUGAGUAUGCCUGUACUUUUACAACCUAAAAAUACAUCGCUUUAAGGUUUAAAUAUAGUCUAAGGAUUUUAUGUAUGCUUUAGAUAUUUUAUCAUAAUUCAAGAAACCAAGUUGUUAGGAAUGGCCUUCUGACAUAUGUGUUUUAAUCUUUAUCAAAUUUCUGUUAAUAUAGUCUAAAUGAAACUCUAUUUCUCUUUCUUUGUAGUUUAUUUCCAAACAGAUUUUAGAUAAAUAAUAUAAAACAGUGCUGUCUUACUAAACGGAAAGAUAAGCAUCUUUCUUUGGACUGAUGAUGUCUUGCCAUCACAUUCCCAACA